AUCUGUAUCCAUACCUCUCUGACAUGCCUGUUCUCAUCUGAUACCUGAAGCUAAGCAGGGUCAGGCCUGAUUAUGGAAAAGAGAGGGUUGAUGACCCUAACUGAAAAAAUCAUUAGCAAAAAAGAAAGUAAAGAAA
rnacentral:rRNA from 1 species